rnacentral:rRNA from 1 species
ACAGUUAUUGUUUAUUUGAUACAUCAAAUGGAUAACUGUAGAAAAACUAGAGCUAAUACAUGCUAAGGCCGCAAGGUCGUAUUUAUUAGAUAUUCCGAUAAGGUGAAUCAUAAUAACUUCGCAAAUCUCGUCUAUGAUGAGAUAAAUCAUCCAAGUUUCUGCCCUAUCAUGCUUUCGUUGGUAGUGUAUUGGACUACCAUGGCUCUCACGGGUAACAGGGAAUUAGGGUUCGAUUCUGGAGAAGGAGCCUGAGAAACGGCUACUACAUCUACGGAAGGCAGCAGGCGCGUAAAUUACCCAAUCCUGACUCAGGGAGGUGGUGACAAGAUAUAACAACGUGAUUUUUAAUCUCGAUUGUAGUGAGGGUUUUCUAAAUAGAACCUAUAGUACGAUUAGAGGGCAAGUCUGGUGCCAGCAGCCGCGGUAAUUCCAGCUCUAAUAGCGUAUAUUAAAGUUGCUGCAGUUAAAAAGCUCAUAGUUGGAUUUCAAGGAAUGUAUGCUCGUAUGAGUUUACAUCCUACUAGUCAUUGACUGUUACUGUGAGAAAAUUAGAGUGUUUCAAGCAGGCUUUAGCAAGAAUACAUUAGCAUGGAAUAACGAAUGUAUUUAGAAUCGUGGUUUAAUUCUAAAUUACGAUUAAUAG